GAUGAACGCUGGCGGCGUGCCUAUACAUGCAAGUCGAGCGAAUGGAUUAAGAGCUUGCUCUUAUGAAGUUAGCGGCGGACGGGUGAGUAACACGUGGGUAACCUGCCCAUAAGACUGGGAUAACUCCGGGAAACCGGGGCUAAUACCGGAUAACAUUUUGAACCGCAUGGUUCGAAAUUGAAAGGCGGCUUCGGCUGUCACUUAUGGAUGGACCCGGGUCGCAUUAGCUAGUUGGUGAGGUAACGGCUGACCAAGGCAACGAUGCGUAGCCGACCUGAGAGGGUGAUCGGCCACACUGGGACUGAGACACGGCCCAGACUCCUACGGGAGGCAGCAGUAGGGAACCUUCCGCAAUGGACGAAAGUCUGACGGAGCAACGCCGCGUGAGUGAUGAAGGCUUUCGGGUCGUAAAACUCUGUUGUUAGGGAAGAACAAGUGCUAGUUGAAUAAGCUGGCACCUUGACGGUACCUAACCAGAAAGCCACGGCUAACUACGUGCCAGCCGCCGCCGUAA
rnacentral:rRNA from 1 species